GGGGGGCUACGGGAGGCAGCAGUAGGGAAUAUUGGGCAAUGGACGCAAGUCUGACCCAGCCAUGCCGCGUGCAGGAUGAAGGCCCUAUGGGUUGUAAACUGCUUUUUUACGGGAAGAAACACUCCGACGUGUCGGAGCUUGACGGUACCGUAAGAAUAAGGAUCGGCUAACUCCGUGCCAGCAGCCGCGGUAAUACGGAGGAUCCAAGCGUUGUCCGGAUUCAUUGGGUUUAAAGGGUGCGUAGGCGGGCUAUUAAGUCAGAGGUGAAAUCUUGCGGCUCAACCGUAAAAUUGCCUUUGAAACUGGUAGCCUUGAAUUCGGUCGAGGUGGAUGGAAUGUGUCAUGUAGCGGUGAAAUGCUUAGAUAUGACCCAGAACACCAAUUGCGAAGGCAGUUCACUAGACCGACAUUGACGCUGAGGCACGAAAGCGUGGGUAGCGAACAGGAUUAGAUACCCUGGUAGUCCACGCCCUAAACGAUGAUUACUCGCUGUUGGCGAUAUACAGUCAGCGGCUAAGCGAAAGCGUUAAGUAAUCCACCUGGGG
rnacentral:rRNA from 1 species